ACUCCUACGGGAGGCAGCAGUGGGGAAUAUUGCACAAUGGGCGCAAGCCUGAUGCAGCAACGCCGUGUGAGUGAAGAAGGUUUUCGGAUCGUAAAACUCUGUCCUAAGGGAAGAAAAAAUAGACGGUACCUUAGGAGGAAGCCCGGCUAACUACGUGCCAGCAGCCGCGGUAAUACGUAGGGGGCAAGCGUUAUCCGGAAUCACUGGGGCGUAAAGGGUGCGUAGGCGGCUUAGCAAGCCAGGGGUGAAAGGCAUUGGCUCAACCAAUGUAAGCCUUUGGAACUGUUAAGCUUGAGUGCAGGAGAGGUAAGUGGAAUUCCUAGUGUAGAGGUGAAAUUCGUAGAUAUUAGGAGGAACACCAGUGGCGAAGGCGACUUACUGGACUGUAACUGACGCUGAUGCACGAAAGCGUGGGUAGCGAACAGGAUUAGAUACCCUGGUA
rnacentral:rRNA from 1 species